UACGUAGGGGGCAAGCGUUGUCCGGAUUUAUUGGGCGUAAAGCGCGUGUAGGCGGCUGGGUAGGUCCGCUGUGAAAACUCGAGGCUCAACCUCGAGACGUCGGCGGAAACCAUCCAGCUAGAGUCCGGAAGAGGAGAGUGGAAUUCCUGGUGUAGCGGUGAAAUGCGCAGAUAUCAGGAAGAACACCCGUGGCGAAAGCGGCGCGCUGGACCACUACUGACGCUGAGGAACGAAAGCUAGGGGAGCAAACAGG
rnacentral:rRNA from 1 species